rnacentral:rRNA from 1 species
AGUGAACGCUGGCGGCAGGCCUAACACAUGCAAGUCGAACGGCAGCACAGUAAGAGCUUGCUCUUACGGGUGGCGAGUGGCGGACGGGUGAGGAAUACAUCGGAAUCUACUUUUUCGUGGGGGAUAACGUAGGGAAACUUACGCUAAUACCGCAUACGACCUACGGGUGAAAGCAGGGGAUCUUCGGACCUUGCGCGACUGAAUGAGCCGAUGUCGGAUUAGCUAGUUGGGGGGGUAAGGGCCCACCAAGGCGACGAUCCGUAGCUGGUCUGAGAGGAUGAUCGGCCACACUGGAACUGAGACACGGUCCAGACUCCUACGGGAGGCAGCAGUGGGGAAUAUUGGACAAUGGGCGCAAGCCUGAUCCAGCCAUACCGCGUGAGUGAAGAAGGCCUUCGGGUUGUAAAGCCCUUUUGUUGGGAAAGAAAAGCAGCAGGUUAAUACCCCGCUGUUCUGACGGUACCCAAAGAAUAAGCACCGGCUAACUUCGUG